GUCGAGGGGCAGCGAGGGUAGCAAUACCUGUCGGCGACCGGCGCACGGGUGAGUAACGCGUAUGUAACCUGCCCGCAACAGGGGGAUAACCCGGCGAAAGUCGGACUAAUACCGCAUAAAACAGGGGUCCCGCAUGGGAAUAUUUGUUAAAGAUUUAUCGGUUGCGGAUGGGCAUGCGUACCAUUAGGUAGUUGGUGAGGUAACGGCUCACCAAGCCUUCGAUGGUUAGGGGUUCUGAGAGGAAGGUCCCCCACACUGGUACUGAGACACGGACCAGACUCCUACGGGAGGCAGCAGUGAGGAAUAUUGGUCAAUGGGCGAGAGCCUGAACCAGCCAAGUCGCGUGAAGGAUGACUGCCCUAUGGGUUGUAAACUUCUUUUACAAGGGAAUAAAAUGAGAUACGUGUAUUUUA
rnacentral:rRNA from 1 species